rnacentral:rRNA from 1 species
CGAGCGCACUCUUCGGAGUGAGCGGCGGACGGGUUAGUAACGCGUGGGAACGCGCCCUUCUCUAAGGAAUAGCCACUGGAAACGGUGAGUAAUACCUUAUACGCCCUUCGGGGGAAAGAUUUAUCGGAGAAGGAUCGGCCCGCGUUAGAUUAGAUAGUUGGUGGGGUAAUGGCCUACCAAGUCUACGAUCUAUAGCUGGUUUUAGAGGAUGAUCAGCAACACUGGGACUGAGACACGGCCCAG